GAUGAACGCUGGCGGCGUGCCUAAUACAUGCAAGUCGAGCGAACAGACGAGGAGCUUGCUCCUCUGACGUUAGCGGCGGACGGGUGAGUAACACGUGGAUAACCUACCUCUAAGACUUGGAUAACUUCGGGAAACCGGAGCUACUACCGGAUAAUAUAUUGAACCGCAUGGUUCAAUAGUUCAAGACGGUUUUGCUGUCACUUAUAGAUGGAUCCGCGCCGCAUUAGCUAGUUGGUAAGGUAACGGCUUACCAAGGCGACGAUGCGUAGCCGACCUGAGAGGGUGAUCGGCCACACUGGAACUGAGACACGGUCCAGACUCCUACGGGAGGCAGCAGUGGGGAAUAUUCGACAAUGGGCGAAAGCUUGACGGAGCAACGCCGCGUGGGUGAAGAAGGUCUUCGGGUUGUAAAGCUCUUUUAUUGGGAAAGAAAAAAUGGGGAAGAAAACAUCGCUGUUUUGACGGUACCUAAUCAAAAAGCACCGGCUAACUUCGU
rnacentral:rRNA from 1 species